rnacentral:rRNA from 1 species
GGGGGGGGGGGGGGGGGGGGGGGGGGGGGGGGGGGGGGGGGCUGGGGGGGGGUACGGGUGCCAACGGGAGGAGCAGCGAACGGGUGAGUAACGCGUGGGGGGGCUGCCUUGGAGCGGGGGACAACAUUUGGGGACGAAUGCUAAUACCGCAUAAAAACUUGACACACAAGUUGUACGUUGGAAAGAUGCAAUUGCAUCACUCAAAGAUGAUCCCGCGUUGUAUUAGCUAGUUGGUGAGGUAAAGGCUCACCAAGGCGAUGAUACAUAGCCGACCUGAGAGGGUGAUCGGCCACAUUGGGACUGAGACACGGCCCCAACUCCUACGGGAGGCAGCAGUAGGGAAUCUUCGGCAAUGGACGAAAGUCUGACCGAGCGACGCCGCGUGAGUGAAGAAGGUUUUCGGAUCGUAAAACUCUGUUGGUAGAGAAGAACGGUGGUGAGAGUGGAAAGCUCAUCAAGUGACGGUAACUACCCAGAAAGGGACGGCUAACUACGUG